UACGUAGGUGGCAAGCGUUGUCCGGAUUUACUGGGCGUAAAGAGCGCGCAGGCGGUCGUAUAAGUCGAAUGUGAAAGCCCCUGGCUCAACUAGGGAGAGUCAUUCGAUACUGUUCGACUCGAAGGCAGGAGAGGGAAGUGGAAUUCCGGGUGUAGCAGUGAAAUGCGUAGAUAUCAGGAGGAAUACCGAUGGCGAAGGCAGGUCUCUGGGCUGACACUGACGCUCAUGCACGAAAGCGUGGGGAGCAAACAGG
rnacentral:rRNA from 1 species